rnacentral:pre_miRNA from 11 species
GAUGACAAGCCGUAGGGCUUAGCCCACCUGUGAACAGCAUUGGAUUCAGCCAUGUUCACAGUGGCUAAGUUCCGCUGCUUGG